UACGAAGGGGGCGAGCGUUGUUCGGAUUUACUGGGCGUAAAGGGCGCGUAGGCGGCCUUGUCAGUCAGGCGUGAAAGCCCCGGGCUCAACCUGGGAACGGCGCUUGGGACGGCGAGGCUGGAGUUCGGGAGAGGAGAGUGGAAUUCCCGGUGUAGCGGUGAAAUGCGCAGAUAUCGGGAAGAACACCCGUGGCGAAGGCGGCUCUCUGGGACGGUACUGACGCUGAGACGCGAAAGCGUGGGGAGCGAACAGG
rnacentral:rRNA from 1 species